CACCCUCAGAUGAGCCUCAGGCAAGAGCUCCAGGCCGGGCUGACAAUGCCAGACUUUUGAGUCCCUCACAUACACGGGACAGCACCCCUUAUCAACCGGCCGGGAAGCGGACACCUCAGUUCCAAUGCUCCCAUUAACGGAGGUGCCCGUUGCGCCCGGCACUAUGGGCCCGUCUUUGCAGGCCAUCGAAGUCAUCAGAAGAGAGGCCCGCCUCUCAGCCAAGGAAAGAAAACAACCCACUGAAGCGGAACCACCCCCACUGGACAUUGAGCCUGGUGACUGGAUUUGGAUCAAGAAGUUUAACAAGGAAACCCUCGAACCUACCUGGGAUGGGCCCCACUUUGUAAUUCUAACAACCCUCACAGCCUUUAAGGUGUCUAAUAAGAGACCGUGGAUUCACCACACCCAGGAACCCUUGCCAACUGUGCCCGAGCCGGCAAGCCCACCCUAGGAGAUCUUCAAGGACAGGGGACCUGCUUCAUCCUUGGAAACCUCAACCUCCAAGCUUCGCCAUACAAGGACAACUGCCUGAC